rnacentral:rRNA from 2 species
GGCGGCAGUAGCGCGGUGGUCCCACCUGACCCCAUGCCGAACUCAGAAGUGAAACGCCGUAGCGCCGAUGGUAGUGUGGGGUCUCCCCAUGCGAGAGUAGGGAACUG